rnacentral:rRNA from 1 species
AUUGAACGCUGGCGGCAGGCCUAACACAUGCAAGUCGAGCGGAUGAAGGGAGCUUGCUCCUCGCUUCAGCGGCGGACGGGUGAGUAAUUCCUAGGAAUCUGCCUGGUACUGGGGGAUAACGUCCGGAAACGGGCGCUAAUACCGCAUACGCCCUGAUGGAGAAAGGGGGGGAUCUUCGGAUCUCACGCUUUCAGAUGAGCCUAGGUCGGAUUAGCUAGUUGGUGGGGUAAAGGCCUACCAAGGCGACGAUCCGUAACUGGUCUGAGAGGAUGAUCAGUCACACUGGAACUGAGACACGGUCCAGACUCCUACGGGAGGCAGCAGUGGGGAAUAUUGGACAAUGGGCGAAAGCCUGAUACAGCCAUGCCGCGUGUGUGAAGAAAGUCUUCGGAUUGUAAAGCACUUUAAGUUGGGAGGAAGGGCAGUAAGUUAAUACGUUGCUGUAUUGACGUCACCAACAGAAUAAGCACCGGCUAACUUCGUG